rnacentral:rRNA from 1 species
GAUGAACGCUGGCGGCGUGCCUAAUACAUGCAAGUCGAGCGAACGGACGAGAAGCUUGCUUCUCUGAUGUUAGCGGCGGACGGGUGAGUAACACGUGGAUAACCUACCUAUAAGACUGGGAUAACUUCGGGAAACCGGAGCUAAUACCGGAUAAUAUUUUGAACCGCAUGGUUCAAAAGUGAAAGACGGUCUUGCUGUCACUUAUAGAUGGAUCCGCGCUGCAUUAGCUAGUUGGUAAGGUAACGGCUUACCAAGGCAACGAUGCAUAGCCGACCUGAGAGGGUGAUCGGCCACACUGGAACUGAGACACGGUCCAGACUCCUACGGGAGGCAGCAGUAGGGAAUCUUCCGCAAUGGGCGAAAGCCUGACGGAGCAACGCCGCGUGAGUGAUGAAGGUCUUCGGAUCGUAAAACUCUGUUAUUAGGGAAGAACAUAUGUGUAAGUAACUGUGCACAUCUUGACGGUACCUAAUCAGAAAGCCACGGCUAACUACGUGCCAGCAGCCGCGGUAAUACGUAGGUGGCAAGCGUUAUCCGGAAUUAUUGGGCGUAAAGCGCGCGUAGGCGGUUUUUUAAGUCUGAUGUGAAAGCCCACGGCUCAACCGUGGAGGGUCAUUGGAAACUGGAAAACUUGAGUGCAGAAGAGGAAAGUGGAAUUCCAUGUGUAGCGGUGAAAUGCGCAGAGAUAUGGAGGAACACCAGUGGCGAAGGCGACUUUCUGGUCUGUAACUGACGCUGAUGUGCGAAAGCGUGGGGAUCAAACAGGAUUAGAUACCCUGGUAGUCCACGCCGUAAACGAUGAGUGCUAAGUGUUAGGGGGUUUCCGCCCCUUAGUGCUGCAGCUAACGCAUUAAGCACUCCGCCUGGGGAGUACGACCGCAAGGUUGAAACUCAAAGGAAUUGACGGGGACCCGCACAAGCGGUGGAGCAUGUGGUUUAAUUCGAAGCAACGCGAAGAACCUUACCAAAUCUUGACAUCCUUUGACAACUCUAGAGAUAGAGCCUUCUCCUUCGGGGGACAAAGUGACAGGUGGUGCAUGGUUGUCGUCAGCUCGUGUCGUGAGAUGUUGGGUUAAGUCCCGCAACGAGCGCAACCCUUAAGCUUAGUUGCCAUCAUUAAGUUGGGCACUCUAAGUUGACUGCCGGUGACAAACCGGAGGAAGGUGGGGAUGACGUCAAAUCAUCAUGCCCCUUAUGAUUUGGGCUACACACGUGCUACAAUGGACAAUACAAAGGGUAGCGAAACCGCGAGGUCAAGCAAAUCCCAUAAAGUUGUUCUCAGUUCGGAUUGUAGUCUGCAACUCGACUACAUGAAGCUGGAAUCGCUAGUAAUCGUAGAUCAGCAUGCUACGGUGAAUACGUUCCCGGGUCU